UCCAUAUAGUACCUGUAAUCGUAUUGGUUUAUUUUUAACGGUCUUGUUUAAAAAAUUCCAUCAACGAUAUUUCUUUACUACAUAUAUAUGUAUAUACGAGCAUAGAAUGCCAAUAGGAAUGAGACGACAGUUUAUCGAAUUCAAAUACAGUUCAUUACGAUUUUCAUGAAAUGCAUUAGGUAUAACGUUUCAAGGAUAAGGGUAAAAUAAUGUUCAUCUCCGUGAUGUUCUUGCACGUAUGUACAUACAUACAUACUGUGAGCUACAGAUGGCAGUAACGUCUCCAUUACUUGAUCAUCGAUUUCGUUCAAAUAUUAUAUUAUACGUGUUCCCGUAAGGGGAUAAUGAAGAUAAAAUUGAGACAAAAGGCGAUAACGUAAGUAAUAUAAGAACGCAGCUUACGAUGCUUAUAAAAUAAAUUCAUUCGAUGUUAUAUGCAAGCAUGUUUAUAUACGUGUCUUGCGACAAUUUGCAUACGAAUAGUAAAAGUCAAUGAAAAAUGCGAAUCUUGGGAUUCUAUCACA